UUUCCGGUCGGCCCCUCGUUCGCUGCCGCGCGCCGGCCGGCUGGCCGCUCGGGUCGGUUGGCGGCUGCCUGGUGUCCGAGGGAUCCGGCCGCUGCUUCCCUACUUCCGGGGAGCUGUUUCGGGCAGUUCCAGACCGUCCAGGAUUGUGGGAGAGUGGAGGAUAAGGAAUCGGCCCAGGCGUGUUCACUUUGCAUCAGCAUUUCCUGUUGUAGCCAGCAGGGUAUCAGAGCAACUCUGUGAGAACAGCUGCGGGUGUAGUCUGGAACUCAACACUCGGUACCAGCCCGGGACCUCUGUGCCCCUCCGACUUCUCAGCACCUCAUGGGUUUGUUGGGGCAGACCUGGAAGACUUGGAUUGCCCUGCCAGGUUGGGGCCUGCCCACUGACCAGGGAGCCAGCCAAACGCAGCGCCUGGGAGCCUGUGGUGCAGCCUAUCUGCAGGAUGACCGACUGUCACCAGUUGAGAGCUGCCAUGUCAGAAAGCGUUUCAGCAGGCGGUCUCCCUCUACCUGGAGGUUGUACAGACAGACUUGGACUCUUAAUGUGGUAGAAGUUUUUCAGUAUUGGCCCCGACAUCUGCCUAAUUCAUAUUCCUGUAUUAGAAGAAUGCACGUAUUUCACCCAGAAUAUAAUGCUUUAAGUAUGUGGACUGCCUUUCU